rnacentral:rRNA from 1 species
GGCCAGACUCCUACGGGAGGCAGCAGUGAGGAAUAUUGGUCAAUGGGCGGAAGCCUGAACCAGCCAAGUCGCGUGAGGGAUUAAGGCCCUGCGGGUCGUAAACCUCUUUUGCCGGGGAGCAGAGGUCCGGACGUGUCCGGGCCGGGAGAGUACCCGGAGAAAAAGCAUCGGCUAACUCCGUGCCAGCAGCCGCGGUAAUACGGAGGAUGCGAGCGUUAUCCGGAUUUAUUGGGUUUAAAGGGUGCGUAGGCGGGCAUUUAAGCCGGCGGUCAAAUGUCGGGGCUCAACCCCGGCCUGCCGUCGGAACUGGGUGCCUUGAGAUGUCGAGAGGUAUGCGGAAUGCGCAGUGUAGCGGUGAAAUGCUUAGAUAUUGCGCAGAACUCCGAUUGCGAAGGCAGCAUACCGGCGGCGAUCUGACGCUGAGGCACGAAAGCGUGGGUAUCGAACAGGAUUAGAUACCCGCGUA